rnacentral:rRNA from 1 species
AGACGAUGACGUUGAUAGGUCGGGUGUGUAAGCGUAGCGAUACGUUGAGCUAACCGAUACUAAUGAACCGUGAGGCUUAACCUUACAACGCCGAAGGUGUUU